rnacentral:rRNA from 1 species
UGCCCAAGAGAUCGGGAUAACACCUGGAAACAGAUGCUAAUACCGGAUAACAACAGAUGAUGCCUAUCAACUGUUUAAAAGAUGGUUCUGCUAUCACUCUUGGAUGGACCUGCGGUGCAUUAGCUAGUUGGUAGGGUAACGGCCUACCAAGGCGAUGAUGCAUAGCCGAGUUGAGAGACUGAUCGGCCACAUCGGGACUGAGACACGGCCCAAACUCCUACGGGAGGCAGCAGGC